rnacentral:rRNA from 1 species
GACGAACGCUGGCGGCGUGCCUAAUACAUGCAAGUCGAACGAGAGCGCCCGGUGCUUGCCCUGGUCAAUCUAGUGGCGAACGGGUGAGUAACACGUGGGUAACCUGCCCAUCAGAGGGGGAUAACAUCCGGAAACGGAUGCUAAAACCGCAUAGGUCUUCGAGCCGCAUGGCUUGAAGAGGAAAAGAGGCGCAAGCUUCUGCUGAUGGAUGGACCCGCGGUGCAUUAGCUAGUUGGUGAGGUAACGGCUCACCAAGGCCGUGAUGCAUAGCCGACCUGAGAGGGUGAUCGGCCACAUUGGGACUGAGACACGGCCCAAACUCCUACGGGAGGCAGCAGUAGGUAAUCUUCCGCAAUGGACGCAAGUCUGACGGAGCAACGCCGCGUGAGUGAAGAAGGUUUUCGGAUCGUAAAACUCUGUUGUUAGAGAAGAACAAGUGCUAGAGUAACUGUUAGCGCCUUGACGGUAUCUAACCAGAAAGCCACGGCUAACUACGUG